CACGUAGGGCGCAAGCGUUGUCCGGAAUUACUGGGCGUAAAGCGCACGUAGGCGGCUUUCUAAGUCGGGGGUGAAAUCCUGGAGCUCAACUCCAGAACUGCCUUCGAUACUGGAAAGCUCGAGUCCGGGAGAGGUGAGUGGAACUGCGAGUGUAGAGGUGAAAUUCGUAGAUAUUCGCAAGAACACCAGUGGCGAAGGCGGCUCACUGGCCCGGUACUGACGCUGAGGUGCGAAAGCGUGGGGAGCAAACAGG
rnacentral:rRNA from 1 species